GAUGAACGCUGGCGGCGUGCUUAACACAUGCAAGUCGAACGAAGCAUUUGCGACAGAUUUUUUCGGAAUGAAGUUGCUUAUGACUGAGUGGCGGACGGGUGAGUAACGCGUGGGUAACCUGCCUUGUACUGGGGGAUAGCAGCUGGAAACGGCUGGUAAUACCGCAUAAGCGCACAAUGUUGCAUGACAUGGUGUGAAAAACUCCGGUGGUAUAAGAUGGACCCGCGUCUGAUUAGCUAGUUGGUGAGAUAACAGCCCACCAAGGCGACGAUCAGUAGCCGACCUGAGAGGGUGACCGGCCACAUUGGGACUGAGACACGGCCCAGACUCCUACGGGAGGCAGCAGUGGGGAAUAUUGCACAAUGGAGGAAACUCUGAUGCAGCGACGCCGCGUGAGUGAAGAAGUAAUUCGUUAUGUAAAGCUCUAUCAGCAGGGAAGAUAGUGACGGUACCUGACUAAGAAGCUCCGGCUAAAUACG
rnacentral:rRNA from 1 species